rnacentral:rRNA from 1 species
AUGGAGUCUGCCCCAGAAUUGCUUCCAGGAAAUUGCGGAGAUACAAAGGUGGCCAUGGCUGAUGUACAAGACGACUUCUCCAAAAUUCAAGCACCCCUGGGUUUGCUUGGGCAGGCAAUGGAUGAAUUCCAAGACGAAGAGGAAGGCAGGAGCAUCUUCAUGAGAGGCGUGAAGCUCGGAAAGCAGCUCAAGGCCAUGCCAAACCGUGCUGAAGGUUGGCAGAUAAUUGCAGACUUCUGGGCUGAGAAGAUUCUCUACAUCGCGCCAACGGAUAAUGUUAAAGGGCACAUGGAACUUCUUGCGAAAGGUGGAGAGCUCCUGACCAACAUCUGGGUGCUCCUGACUCAUGCGGGUGUAGUCAAGAUUCACAGGGAGGAAGAUAAGAAAGCCAUGCCCAGGCGCCGACCAUCCCAAGCGAAUGUGUGA